rnacentral:lncRNA from 1 species
GAAGAAUUUAAGUGCAAGGCGCCUCCAGUGCAGAGCAUGUGUGAUAGCAACGCUCGUUGCAUCAUGCCUGAUCCAGCACUAUCCGGUUCUACGGCAUCGGCUGUGGUAUCGACAAGUGUCUGCGAAAAAUCGUGCUGGCAGCGCAGUGAAUAAAACCGAGGAACUUGAGAGGAAUGCAAGGCCCGUAUCUCUCACAUGGGACCACUGGGGCGCAGCUACAACAAAGGAACACGGAACUGAUCUCCACCGAUGGAGCACAAGAGCCUGCCACCGGAAAACGAAGAGCGUUCAUUCCCCUGCGUGUAUUCUGAAGAUUUGGGUGGAACUUUGGCGUGGCGGCUCGUAGCACUAGAAAUCCAAAGUUUGUUUCCAGCUUCAGUAAAUGGGUCCCCACAAUAUGAUGUGGAACAGAGGAGUGUAACCUCUUUGCAGGUUUUAGCAUGCAUACGGUACAUUGCCGGUGAAAACGAGACGGUACAGUCACAUGUCCAUUGUGCCGACUGGUUCGCCGGCGUUCUGGCCGACAAAUCCGGCGAUACUGACUCCAGCAGAUGCCACCGGGUCUCACGAAGAAGCCACGGAAGGUCCACUCUUUUUGAAGCCUCUAGGGAGCCUCGACCGUGCGGCCGUCUUCCCAAUCGCUGUCGACAGGGUCGUCCGGAAGUCCGUCAUCUUGGGUGUUUCCAGGCUCUUCGAAAUCACUCAUGAGCGCAACUGCGGAAGAACGCUCAUCGAAUCCUUGGGAAACUUCAGCUGACUCAGGAGACACGUCUUGACCUCUCCGGGUACCUUCCCUCCACUGGGAGGUCCUAUCAAUCUGACGAGGAGGGGAGGUUCCGUGGUCGUGAAACUCUCCCUCGUCGAUAACACUGCCAGUGGCGGCGCACACAUCUCCGAUGAUUUCUUGACUCAAAUACAGAGAUACCGGGAGAUUGCGUUCCUGCAUCUUCUUUAUCAAAAAACGGACUGCGGCGAAGUUCCCAAUCGAGUUAUAGUACCUGCGGCAUUCAUCAGGACGCACGGGACUCCGUUCAUCGCACAGGAGCAGUAGGAUGGGAGGUGUACCGUAAGGCAGUGCUUUUGGGGGAAACUCGGCAAGAGGCUGUGGCACGCGCCACUGCGUCGCUUCAGAAUAUCUUUAAGUUCUCUUUCGUAUACGAGCUUGGG